UUCUACAUAACGAAAAACAUGUAAGAAAGAGAGAAAUAGCUGAAAUGUUUUUUAUUAAAAAAUUUGACAACACUAUUAAUUCCCAAAAAGAUACAGAGAAUUUAAACAACAUAUACGAUAAAUUAAUAAAGGUCGUUUAGUUGAUCUCAGUAUUCCAAACAUAGUGGUUGACACAAUGUCAGUUUGACAUUUCGAUUUUUCUCUUUCUACUUUUUAAUUAUAACGUAAGUUGCUUAAUCCUAUUUUUUUUCUUUGUAACAUGACUAUCAUUAUUUAUUGUAUUGUAAUUUUAGUUUCACUUGAUAAGGACCAAAACCAUAUGGUCGAAACGUCGUGAUAUAAUAAUCAAACAAUAAAUUGCCAGUUUGGUCGUAUAAACACUUGUUUAUAAAUUUCACAGUCUCGAAAACUCUAAAAAAAGAGAGACACCAGGGAGAAGUUAAAGAUCCCGCAACAGAAAGCGAGGAUAAAGAUGAGAGAAUGCAGCACGAAAAAUAUCGAAGUAAUAUUUCCGUUAUCGAUUAUGGAUGGAACGCCUGGACGUGAAAGGAAUAUCGAAGCGUGCACGCUUUUUCAUAUUUCGCUCAUCGCUUAUUAGCAAUCGAUCUUUUCAAAGCCUUUCGAACAUAUACAUAUAUAUGCCGUCGGUAUUUCUAUACGUGCGUUAUACAAUAUUAACACACAGUCAGUGAAAUAUAAAACUGAUCUCCGAUGUAAUCUUGACGGCGCCAGAUCCCGCGCCGGCGAUGAAAGUAAUGGCGGUGUUUGAGACGAAUCGCCAAGAGAGGGUCUCGCAGCCAUAAAAAGCGAACCUCCCGUACGUAUCACGAUCGACCUUUAAGGCCAUUGCCGAAUAUUGAGGCCAUCGAGGAGCAAAUAAAUAAUCUCGCGCCGUGGGCUCGAUAAAUUUUGAAACAGCCGAUAAAUACAGCCGAAUCCUCUUGCACCGCCAGAGAUCGGCUGGACCACUCGUGUGCGAGGUCAGAAUGCGAGAAAACAUUAAGGGCGGAAUGAAUAAGAGUGACGACGAGGAAUAUUUGUGCGGCAAAAUUUCGCUUAAUGUAUUUCCAUAGGACACGAAAGAGACAAAUAGCGAAAAAAGCGGGA